UGGUUCCAUCCCCUACGGGGGAGGGACGAAGAGGGAAUCGCGUGGAAAUCGCGAGCUGUCGCGCAACUGUGAAUCCGCCUCCAAGGUCGAUACACUAAGCCAUUGGGAACCAAGAUCCUGAGAAGGCGUAUCGACAUGCGGAAAGCCAGGAGACCUGCCACGGAC
rnacentral:ncRNA from 1 species